UACGUAGGUCCCGAGCGUUGUCCAGAUUUAUUGGGCGUAAAGCGAGCGCAGGUGGUUUAUUAAGUCUGGUGUAAAAGGCAGUGGCUCAACCAUUGUAUGCAUUGGAAACUGGUAGACUUGAGUGCAGGAGAGGAGAGUGGAAUUCCAUGUGUAGCGGUGAAAUGCGUAGAUAUAUGGAGGAACACCGGUGGCGAAAGCGGCUCUUUGGCCUGUAACUGACACUGAGGCUCAAAAGCGUGGGGAGCAAACAGG
rnacentral:rRNA from 1 species